UUUAUUUUGACAAGUAAAUAUUAUCUUAUAUUGCGAUACUCCUUUAAUCAUAGUCUUCAUCUUACAUAUGAGACAUUGAUAAACAAACUCCUUAUAAUUAAUAGGAUUAACUACGAAGACUAUUGCAAGGUUAAUACUUGCCACCUAAACCACUAUUUCCUUCACCAUCAAUGGAGUAUGUCUUCAGUCUAUGGCAUACACAAACUCCAUCAACACAAUAACAACUUGGAAACACAUUCCUACGUUCCAUUUGACAAUCUUGUGUUGUCUUACAUGUCCUUCGACCUGUCACAACAUCUGAAAAUCACAAAACUCAUUAAUUAGCAUCUUACUUAGAUAUAAUUUCUAGCUUUAAAACCUAAUUAUAUAAAUUGUCGAAUGCUGGGGCGGAGCUAGCAUUGGGGAACAGGUUCUACCGAAUCCAAUAACUUUAGUUCAAGUUUUAUAUAUAUCUUAAAAAAUCUAUUUAAUAUGUACAAAUUAUUAAUUUAGAACCCAAUAACUUCAAAGGGUAUUCAAAACUCAAAAGCAUUAAAUUUUGGCUCCACCUCCGAUGGAAUAAAGGAGGGAAAAAGAAAUAGACUUACCGCGUGAAACGAUCAAGAAGACGACCAACAAAAACACAGUCAUCGAAGCCUUACCCAUAUUUUGUAGCAAAAGAAAGACUAUGAAUUUUAC
rnacentral:lncRNA from 1 species